rnacentral:lncRNA from 1 species
AUUGUGCGGCUCGUGAUUACACCGCAUCACUAUCGCAUUAUUCGGGAUCAGAGCACCAGCAGUAGCUUGGAGAAUGACAUUGCAUCAUCAUAUUUACAAUCGCACAUCGUUGAAAUACAAAAAAUCACCAGCUGUCCGCCAUUAAGUUUAGGAUUUGACUCGGAGCCGUUUUAUUUCUCUCAUGCACACAUUCAAAUGUCUGCGGCAUGUUUAACACGCAGACCUUGGCGCUGUCAUAAUGCUUAGGACAGUUGCAGUUUCAGAGACCAGUCAAGCGGCUGCUGCGGUACAAUAAUGAAGAUUGCAAAGGCCUUCCAACUUGAAAGCCAGUACCCGAACUUCACCACCAACCAGGAUGACGUAGAAGAGCUGAAACUGCAAGCUGUGCUCUCUGCUGCCAGAAAUGCAGUCCACCUUCACCUCACAAAGUCUAGGAGCUGCUUCACUGCAUGGAGUACUAACAUUUCCAUGUUUCGUACCUGAAGAAC